AGGAUCAUUACAGUGUUAUCACAACAUCGGCGCGGGAGGGGGUUUAAGAUGCUGGCCCGAAAGAGGGCAUUUCGUGACUCGCCCCCUUCCGUUUCCGUUGCUUGCGUAUUUUACGUCCACACCCGUGAACCUUAAUGGGAGGGUUCGCCCUCCCUUUUUUUAAAACCAAAGCCUGUUGAAACGCAUGUCUUUAGCCCCAGGGGCGAGUAAAAAGUUUAAUACAACUUUCAACAACGGAUCUCUUGGCUUUCGCAUCGAUGAAGGACGCCGCGAAAGUGCGAAACGUAAUGUGAAUUGCAGAAUUCAGUGAAUCAUCGAAUCUUUGAACGCAUCUUGCGCUCCUUGGCAUUCCGAGGAGCAUGCCUGUUUGAGUGUCGUGAAAUCAUCCCUCGACCCGACUCCUCGUUAGAGUUUGGGUUGGAUUUGGACGUCUGCGGGGGCGGUCUUCGCCUCUCGCUCGUCUUUAAAUGCAUCAGCUUGGCCCUCGGUCCGGAGCGAUCGACGGUGUGAUAAUAACACAUUGAACGCCGUUUUGGCCUGACCUUCGCGUGGGGUCGCUUAUAAUCCCGGUCCCUUGGGACCGAUUCGACCAUUUGACCUCAAAUCAGGUAGGACUACCCGCUGAACUUAAGCAUAUCAAUAAGCGGAGGAAAAGAAACUAACCAGGAUUCCCCUAGUAACGGCGAGUGAAGCGGGAAGAGCUCAAAUUUGUAAUCUGGCGGCCCUUGGUCGUCCGAGU
rnacentral:rRNA from 1 species